CAACUUUAAAAUCAGCUGAGAAAUUUGUAGCUCUUCUAGCUUGAGUCUUGCAUCACAUCUUAGCUCCUGAAAAAACAAACAAAAAACUAAAAUGUAACCUCUUUUCCCCUAUUAGUGUAAUUAUCUAUUCUAACCAAUCUAACUUUACCACACUUUUAAAAUUUGAAUUAAUUUCAAAUAAAGGGCAAAAAAAAACAACAAACAGGAACAAUGUAGGAAACCCACUUAAUGAUCCACCUACUUUAAAUUUUUCCCCCCACGUCUAAAGUUUCACACCACUUCACAGGUGACAAAUUGACAACAGCUGCCAGCAAGACGAGAAUCCACAACUCCUGCUUUUAUUAGCGGCAACUCAAGUGGAUGAUACAAAUUGAGUAAUGAUCUCCUCGACGGCUCCUGCCUCAAUAUUUCAAAGUAAGUGAUGAUCUCCCAAAUAUAAGGGGGUGCUGCUGCAUCCAUAUUUCACUAGAGAACAAUGCAGUAUAACUGACACACAGAGAGGCAGAAGAAAUGUGCUUACAAAGCAUCAAAGGAGCUGUAUAGAGAGCUGUGGAAUAAUGUAAGGCGCUGCUGGAUGGAUGUAACGAGCUUCACAGCUACACAAAUCAUUUGCUCAAACAAAACAAGAACCGCGUGUCUGUCUGCCUGUGCAACGUUUGAUUGGGCGCCCGUGUUAGUGUGAAACUUUGUGCAUCAUUUGCCCAUAUAACCCAGAGCUUCACUGUGAUGCGAGUAAAUGUGUUUGUGUAAGAGAGAAAAACAUGCAUCAGAUGGUGGGGGAAAAAAAGCUUGAAAACAUGCAUAUGUCUGUUUCCUGAAUGCAUGGCAAGCCUGAUUUACUAACCUGAGAUAAGCAAAGUGUGCAUGAAAACGACAAACACAAAGAGGGGGACUCUCUGUGACUGGUGUGUCAUGUCUACAUGCGCUCACAUUUUUGACUAAAUGAAUCAUCAGACGAACUUAAAUACACCACCGGAUCACACUGUGCAGGGAUGUGCAGCCAGAUCCGCUCGCAAGUAGACGUGAUCAACGUCUCACCUGCUCGGAUAAAAGGAGAGGACAGAAGUUUGUGCACACGCACGGAGACAACGGCACACAAAGAAUAGAUGCUGUGUAGUACAACAGAAAUUGGGGCAUGCAUUAUUAACUGAUGGGAUUCCACAGCUUGUGUUGGGAUAUUUGUAUCUCAGAACAGACAGCAGGCAGCACCACAAGCAGACUUGAUCUAUGACAGCAACUAGACAAUCAAUAAUUCAGCGAGUCAGCAAAUCAAUCAAUACUUUAGCAGUUUCACUUAGAAUAAACAGAUUUUGACCUUUAUUAGAGGAUUUUGGAUGUUACAGUUGUCGAGAGGGGUUGAGAGACAACAAUUACCUAUACAUGCAACUGUGCCUUUAAAGAGCAUUUGGGCCUCUUGAACUUUUUCUUAUUUUGACAAAUAUGGAAUCAAGUUGGUUUUAUAUGUGUAUUUUAUGACAGACCAAAACAGUGUAAUGCGUAGUUGGAAGUGGAAGGACAAUUACCUUUGGUUCUCUUUUUUAUUAUUUUUACAAAUAAGAGUGAAGUAUGUUUGUAUUGAGACCGAAACAAAAAUGCAAUAUGUGACUUGUGAAUGAAUGGUGAAAUAUUCUUAGGUUUGUAACUGCACCAGGACAAAAUGUGACGGGGGAAAAAAAAAAUCCAGGUGUGCAAGUAAUUUUUUAAAGUAUUAUGCAGGUUUUCACCUGCUUCAACUGGUGUUUACCAAAUACAUAUCAAAAUCACAGACAAUUUGAUUUGAUUUCAUUUAUGUGUCGAGAUAUUUCUGCUGAUGUGUUGGGUAUCAACAUUUUGUUCCCCAAGUGAAUUAUGAUCUACUUGUACCAUCAAUUAUCCAGAAUAUUAAUCAUUUUGGUUUUAUAGCAGGAUCAUAAACUAGUAUCAUAAUGAUGGUGGGAAAAAAAGGGAAUAUAAGGGCAAACAGAACUGUACUGAGGUAGAAGAAUAAAUCUCAAAAGUAAACAUCAGCAACAAGACACAAUUACAGACAGAGAGCAAAUGAAACUUUGCAAAGAGAGCAAA